UCUGUAGUAAUACAAACUUGGUUCAGUGGCGCACGGGUGCGUAACACGUGAGCAAUCUGCCGGGAAGUGGGGGAUAGCUCGCCGAAAGGCGAAUUAAUACCGCAUGUGGCCAUUCUUCGAGUGGAGGAAAAGCCAAAGCAGCAAUGCGCUUCCUGAUGAGCUCGCGGCCUAUCAGCUCGAUGGCGGGGUAAUGGCCCACCAUGGCUUUGACGGGUAGCUGGUCUGAGAGGACGACCAGCCACACUGGAACUGAGACACGGUCCAGACACCUACGGGUGGCAGCAGUCGAGAAUUUUUCACAAUGGGGGCAACCCUGAUGGAGCGACGCCGCGUGGAGGAUGAAGGCCUUCGGGUUGUAAACUCCUGUCAUGCGGGAACAAGCAAGUGAUAGUACCGCAAGAGGAAGAGACGGCUAACUCUGUGCCAGCAGCCGCGGUAAUACAGAGGUCUCAAGCGUUGUUCGGAUUCAUUGGGCGUAAAGGGUGCGUAGGUGGUGAUGCAAGUCUGGUGUGAAAUCUCGGAGCUCAACUCCGAAAUUGCACCGGAUACUGCGUGACUCGAGGACUGUAGAGGAGAUCGGAAUUCACGGUGUAGCAGUGAAAUGCGUAGAUAUCGUGAGGAAGACCAGUUGCGAAGGCGGAUCUCUGGGCAGUUCCUGACACUGAGGCACGAAGGCCAGGGGAGCAAACGGGAUUAGAUACCCCGGUAGUCCUGGCAGUAAACGGUGCACGUUUGGUGUGGGCGGGUUCAGACCCCGUCCGUGCCGGAGCUAACGCGUUAAACGUGCCGCCUGGGAAGUACGGUCGCAAGAUU
rnacentral:rRNA from 1 species